rnacentral:ncRNA from 1 species
GUUGAUAAAGGCAAACUUAGCGAAAGUUAAGGACGCAAAGCCACGGGUCUUCUGCUUACAAGUAAUGAUCGCCGGGCUACCGAGG